AGAUCAGAGCGACCAGGUCUUUGAAGAAGGCAGCCGCUGGCCUCUGGAAGCUGGAAGGGGCGAGGUGAUACUUUGUCCCCGAGCUCCCUGAAGGAAUGUGGCCCUGCUAAUGCCUUGACUCGGUCCGGACUCUUUACUGCACUGAGCCACGUGGAAAGCCCCUUAAGAGUCGUAAACAUGAAUAAAAGUUCUAUCCUACGAGAAAUUGGAAUCUAAGAAAAGCUGCAGCAAUGAAACGAGACCAGCAUUAUGACUCACUCCACGGUGAUUGAUCAUGGUGUCCGCCACCAGCCCUUGGCCAUCUAUUCCUGUCAUUGCUGAAAUGGAAGCAGAAGACAUCAAACACACUGAACAACUAUGGCCAGAGAGUAGACAUGGACCAUUGCACAGGGAAUCAACGUGCAAAACUUUACCAGAUGUUGUUGGAGGAUGAAUAUAAAGCAGGAAGUCGAAGAGUUGAAAAGCAUGGGAAUUCUUCUGGAUAUGAAGUUAAAAUGUCUGAGUUGACCUGAGACUCUGACCCAGGCAGUGGGAGGAGCUUUCUCCAUCCUUCCGUCUGGAACAGCGGCUCCAACCUAAGGAACACGCUGCUCGUGUGCUCCACACUGACACCUCCAGGCAGCUCAGGCAACAGCAACCCCCGAUGAACGCAGCCUGCUCCUUGGCAUGACCGGCUGCAGAGCUGACUUGCUUCUUAACGGUUCUUGGACAGUGGACACAGUGAUGAGGGAUCAAACCAGAAGACUAUGGAAAGGUUAUUUGAGAAUUACUACAAGUUUCCUCUGAGAUAAAAGUAGAUAAGUA